rnacentral:rRNA from 1 species
UAGGGAAUCUUCCGCAAUGGGCGAAAGCCUGACGGAGCAACGCCGCGUGAGUGAUGAAGGUCUUCGGAUCGUAAAACUCUGUUAUUAGGGAAGAACAAAUGUGUAAGUAACUAUGCACGUCUUGACGGUACCUAAUCAGAAAGCCACGGCUAACUACGUGCCAGCAGCCGCGGUAAUACGUAGGUGGCAAGCGUUAUCCGGAAUUAUUGGGCGUAAAGCGCGCGUAGGCGGUUUUUUAAGUCUGAUGUGAAAGCCCACGGCUCAACCGUGGAUGGUCAUUGGAAACUGGAAAACUUGAGUGCAGAAGAGGAAAGUGGAAUUCCAUGUGUAGCGGUGAAAUGCGCAGAGAUAUGGGGGAACACCAGUGGCGAAGGCGACUUUCUGGUCUGUAACUGACGCUGAUGUGCGAAAGCGUGGGGAUCAAACAGG